rnacentral:miRNA from 1 species
AUCAUGCGAUCCCUUCGGACG